CUGGGAGGACCAUCUCCUAAGGCUAAAUACUCUCUAGUGACCGAUAGUGAACCAGUACCGUGAGGGAAAGGUGAAAAGCACCCCGGAAGGGGAGUGAAAUAGAACCUGAAACCGUGUGCUUACAAGUAGUCAGAGCCCGUUAAUGGGUGAUGGCGUGCCUUUUGUAGAAUGAACCGGCGAGUUACGAUUUGAUGCAAGGUUAAGCAGUAAAUGUGGAGCCGUAGCGAAAGCGAGUCUGAAUAGGGCGUUUAGUAUUUGGUCGUAGACCCGAAACCAGGUGAUCUACCCUUGGUCAGGUUGAAGUUCAGGUAACACUGAAUGGAGGACCGAACCGACUUACGUUGAAAAGUGAGCGGAUGAACUGAGGGUAGCGGAGAAAUUCCAAUCGAACCUGGAGAUAGCUGGUUCUCUCCGAAAUAGCUUUAGGGCUAGCCUCAAGUGAUGAUUAUUGGAGGUAGAGCACUGUUUGGACGAGGGGCCCCUCUCGGGUUACCGAAUUCAGACAAACUCCGAAUGCCAAUUAAUUUAACUUGGGAGUCAGAACAUGGGUGAUAAGGUCCGUGUUCGAAAGGGAAACAGCCCAGACCACCAGCUAAGGUCCCAAAAUAUAUGUUAAGUGGAAAAGGAUGUGGCGUUGCCCAGACAACUAGGAUGUUGGCUUAGAAGCAGCCAUCAUUUAAAGAGUGCGUAAUAGCUCACUAGUCGAGUGACACUGCGCCGAAAAUGUACCGGGGCUAAACAUAUUACCGAAGCUGUGGAUUGUCCUUUGGACAAUGGUAGGAGAGCGUUCUAAGGGCGUUGAAGCAUGAUCGUAAGGACAUGUGGAGCGCUUAGAAGUGAGAAUGCCGGUGUGAGUAGCGAA
rnacentral:rRNA from 1 species